AUGGCUACAAAUAAACAAUAAUAGUAGUUAAAUAGCCGCGGUAACUCUGACCGUGAUAAAGUAGCAUAAUCACUCGUCAUUUAAUUGGUGACUAGAAUGAAUGGUUUUACGAAUUUCCAACUGUCUCAGUAAUAAAAUUAAUGAAAUUAAACCAAUAGUGAAGAUGCUAUUUAUAAAUUGUAAGACGAAAAGACCCUAUCGAGCUUUACUAAACGCUUAAAUAAAUAAAUACUACAAAAUAUUUUAGGACAAAAAUAUUUAAGCUAAUUAGUUUGGUUGGGGCGACCACCUCUAAAAAAGUAUCAGAGGAGAUCUAACGGUUAAUAUUAAUAUAAAAAAGCCUAACUGCAUAUAAAUACAUUAAUCAGUUACAACAAGUAGGAUAUAAUGACCCGUUGGGACUAUCUAAACACCUAACGAUUACAAAAAAAGUUACCGUAGGGAUAACAGGGUAAUAUUCUCGAAGAGUUCUUAUCGAUGAGAAUGUUUGCCACCUCGAUGUUGAAUUAUGAUAUCCUAAAGGUGCAAAAGCUUUUAAGGGUUG
rnacentral:rRNA from 1 species